UCUUUAGGGAAGUUUGAAACUGGGCAGGUUCUAGACAUCGCAGGAUAAUACUGUUGGCUCAUGUCUACCUUCAUGUAACCUUACACUAUAACCACUGUCCUCUGUUCUGCUGUACAGGCAUUGGAAGCACACCAUUGAUGUAGUCUACCUCAACUCCAUCCAGAUAAGCAGAGCAAAAGCCUAGAUAUUUAUGUUAGAGGAAGUUUGUGGAGUGCAUUUUUUAAUCAUACCUUAUGCGUGUUCCACAGACAGAACUCAGGUUUCCAGCUUUGCAAGAUUCUUGGGACUCCCCUUAAGCUGUCC